rnacentral:lncRNA from 1 species
GAUGUUCACGUUGCUAAUUGCCGAGGUCCUCUUCUAGGAUUGGUUGUCCACUCAUAACCAUAAGAUAAUUAAAACGGGGGGGGGCAGGGUAAAAAAAAAACCCUUUUAUCAGCCAUAGGUUAAUGCAAGUGUUUAACAGAUGCUUCGCUAUUAAAAUAUUUCCCCCCAAUACUGAAGAAUCUUAAACCAGGCUAGAGCGCCAGCGCUCCUCUGACCCGGCACACUUUGGCAAAGUUGCAGUGGCCUGUUUGCUUAGGCACUGAAGUGGAUGACCCAAGUUAGGAUGACAACUUGCAGAGAACGCGGAUGAGACCUUCAGUUUGUGCCCACACUCAUUUGCAGCAACCCUAACAGAGAUUGCGAAGAUUUUCAAAGUGGGGCACCUCGAUUUCUCGAAUCUGUGGUGUGGCGAAUAUCCGUGUUCCUCCUGCUUAACUAGCCUGUUUGAAGGCACAGUUCAUUCUCGAGCAAUUCGUCACCUCCUGGGGGUCUUCUCUUCCCGUCUACAGGAGAGUGUGACUUCAGAAAGAACUUCGGAUUGGCCAAGGCAGGUCUGAUUCUAUUUAUUCUAAAGACAGAGUUGGAGAUGGGCUACCAUUGGUGUUGAUUGAGAUGACAAGCAGUCACCUGAGCCCAUACAGCUGGGUUCACAGAUGUGGCUAGUCUUGCUAGCCAGCUCGCACUGUGGACAUUCUAGGGAACUGACUGCAGUCCUCAUGCUUGGAGUCAAACACUUUAACCACUGCACACGUUUAUGUAAUAGGAUUGACAUAUGAGAAUCAGAGAAAUGAAUGAAAGAUUAGAGUGGGAGAAAGUGCUUGCUGCCAAGCUUGAUGACCUAAAUUGAAUACCUGGAACCUACACGACAGAAAGAGAGAGCUGACUGCUGAAAGAUGUCCUCAGAUCUUCACAUGUGCACAGUGGCACCUAUCCAACCAUGCACAUAGUAUAUUAAAAAUUAUUUUUUAAAAAAUCCAGUGA